CGUAAUUUUGUAGUUAUACCCACAACAAAUUCAGCGCCAUCGUUUCCACGCCCUGAAAUGAAAAUCCAUUUGGUUCCAAUUCGAAGUCACGUUAAAGCUCUGCUUUCCGGUUUUAAAUUCUCAAAUUAUGGCUAACAUUUCUCAACUCCACCGCUACCUUUACCAUGACUCCGCCGUCGACGACUCUCACCAGCGUCAUCACAACUACCGCCGUCCACACCGCCCUCGUAACUUAACUGUCGACCAUCUCUUCUCCUCUUCCUCUUCUGAUCCUCACUCCCCGCACGCCACUCUCCACGACCCCUACCCACUUUCCGAACACACUAAUUUCAAUAUUCGGACCCUGGGCGACGACGACGUCUCGGAUCCUGAAUCAGUUAUCCUCGGAGGCCCAGAUCUCCUGGAUCGUGAGAAUCAGGUUAGUUUCGUGUUGGAUCUGUUUCAACAGCGAGUCGAGCAGUCUCAGGUAAUGGGUCGUAGUUCUCAUUUGGUAUCUGAUGCGCUUAACGAAUCGGACUUUGGUGUUAUAGAGGAGGAUUGUGAAUUGGGUAUGGGUAAUUUGGAGCUCGAUUUAGAGUUAGGCUUUGAUUUAGACGGUCACGAGAGUGGUGCGUUUCAAAAUAUAGGCCAUAAUCAUAGUCACAGUGAUAAUAAUAAUGAUUAUAGCAGAAAUAUCGUUAUCGAUGAUGAUGAUGAUGAUGAUUUCUUCGUGGAGAGAAGGAUUUCCGGAAUUCAAUCUUGUGGGGCCGAGUCCACCGUUAGCUUUCGCACAAGUGCUAUGAGGGUGGCUGGGUUUGGGUCGGAUUCUGAUUCAGAGGAUAAUGAGAACUCGGUAGCUAUAGAUUUGUAUUCAGGGGAUGAGUAUGGAUUGGAUCGAGCGAAUAUUGAAAAUGAUAAUUAUGAUAAUGUUGAUGAAGAUGAUGAGGAAGAUGCAACCGUUACUAUUCCUCUUUGUUGGGAUUCGCUUCAAUUGGAGGACCAUAGAGAAAACAAUGAGGAUUUUGAGUGGGAGGAAGUGGAUGGCCGUGUUGAUGAGAGAGACGUUCUAAGCAUGUUUGUUGAUGAUGAGGAGGCCUCUGUUUCUCUCUCCAUCUCGCCCAUUAUUGCCCCUGAGGAUAUGGUGAGUGUAGAGAGGGUAGGAGGAUUGGGAAAUUUGGAAUGGGAAGUUUUGUUGAACGCAAACAACUUCGACUCAAAUCUGGACCGCAUCCAGGACCAUAAUGCUGAGCUUUAUUUUGGGGACCAUGAUGAUUUUAUUUACACUUCUGAGUAUGAGAUGUUGUUUGGGCAAUUUGCAGAGAAUGAGAAUUCAUCGAUUGGUCGGCCUCCGGCAGCAAAAUCUGUUGUUGAGAAACUUCCAUAUGUGGUUUUGACAAAAGAGGAUGUUGAGAAUAAUAAUUCACUUUGUGCUGUUUGUAAAGAUGAGAUUAAUGUUGGAGAGAGGGCAAAGCAGUUGCCUUGCACACAUAGGUAUCAUGGGGAGUGCAUUGUGCCCUGGCUAGGGAUUAGGAAUACUUGCCCAGUAUGUCGAUAUGAGUUGCCUACAGAUGAUGCAGAUUAUGAGCGGAAGAAAGUAGCAGCAUCACAAGGAGCUGUUACUACUGGCCGUCGCCUUUGAUUGGUCUACCUACUGUCACCUGGAAUUUGGAUUAUGUUGAAUUGGUCGUGGAAGCCUUGUAAUCUUUUUUAUCAUUUACCAGAAAAAAAGGGAAAAUCUAUCUGCAAGUAAAUAAAAGCUUCAAAUUCGCUUUCUAUCGGCGUCAAAAAAGGAGCAUAAAAAAGCAUUAUUUCUCUUUAAGAAAAGGGAAAGCAAGUUAAGUCAUCUUGCACAAGAAAGACUCUGAUGCCAUUUGCUUCUGCCAAUUAUGGCUUCAUUGAUGCCCUUCCAAAUCAAGAAAAUGAGGAUGCUGCAUAACAAAAGCCAACUUCAAACCCAAACUUUUCUUGGCCAUGGCUUGAUAACAGUUGAUGUUGGACAUUUGAUCAAAUGUUUCUGGUUGUGGAGUAAAAUAGGUGUGUUUUUAUAUAUUUGUAAAUUUAAUUGUAAGAUUUUUAUACAA